GGUGAGGCUCUAAAGAAUAUGCAAAAUUUUAAAAUUUAUUAAAACCUCAAAAUUCUAUGGAUACUAUUGAUCUUAAUUCAUAACAAAUAUUUCAUAUAUUAAUAGGUGCCAAACCUUGUACGAUUUGCAAAAUUUGGUCAUCUGACUAGCAUUGAUGAAGCUUUAUCUAAUCAAUCCUUUCAACCAUGAUCUUAACCAUAGCCACACACACACAC
rnacentral:lncRNA from 1 species